CCAAUAGCGUAUAUUAAAGUUGUUGCAGUUAAAAAGCUCGUAGUUGAAUUUCGGGGUUUAUCCGUUGGUCGGGCUUUUGGGUCUGUACUGGCGUGAUGGAUUCCUACCUUCUGAAUAACCAGCAUGCCAUUAAUUUGGUGCGCUGGGGAAGCAGGACUGUUACCUUGAAAAAAUUAGAGUGCUUAAAGCAGGCUAUUGCCUGAAUACAUUAGCAUGGAUUAAUGAAAUAGGACGUAUGGUUCUAUUUUGUUGGUUUCUAGGAUCACCGUAAUGAUUAAUAGGGAUAGUUGGGGGCAUUAGUAUUCAAUUGUCAGAGGUGAAAUUCUUGGAUUUAUUGAAGACUAACUUCUGCGAAAGCAUUUGCCAAGGAUGUUUUCAUUAAUCAAGAACGAAAGUUAGGGGAUCGAAGACGAUCAGAUACCGUCGUAGUCUUAACCAUAAACUAUGCCGACUAGGGAUCGGACGAUGUUAAUUUUUUAAUGACUCGUUCGGCGCCUUACG
rnacentral:rRNA from 1 species